AUCAAUAGGCAAUAAUUUAACAAAUUACCAAACAAUUAUACCAAUAACUUAACCAAUUAUACCAAACUUUGCAAAUUCCACUCGUAGAAUCUCUGUGUUUCUUAAAGUUAGUACCUCUCUUUUUUCUUUCCAAUCAAAGCUUACCUUCAGUAAUAGGUUAUGAAGAAUUUUUCUUUUUUGUGUAUGUUUUCUUGCGAGAGCUUUAUGUACUGCUAAUCUAUCCAAUUUCGCUUGCAUAAUCUCUCGCAUUUGUGAAGGCAUCUACAAUUCCAUGGAUUUUUGGUGUGCUGGGAGCAAAGUAGGGUUCUAAAUUUUCCUGCCACAGAGAAGUAGACAAAAGGAGCUUUUUUAUGCUCUUCGUCAACUUGAGAUUUCUGCUAUGAGUUAUUGGAGUUGCUGGUUCUUUAUAAUUUGCACUUGAAGCAGUUUGCCGAUUUUACUUUCGGUUCAAGUCACCCAGAUAUAACCAGGAUAAAACUGGAGCCACUGAUGGGAACUGAAUCUUAGGCUUGCUAUCGGAGUUUAUCAGAAUUAUUCUGCUCAGAUGAUUGGAACUCAGCCAAAAAGAGGGGAAGAAGAAGAAUGUGCAAGAGAGGGAGAAAGAGGAAUGGUUGAGACAGAGUACAUAUGCCUUGUGGCCGGUAGAAAAACAGGGGACAAAUCAAGCUCAAUCUGUCAAUCACUAGCUAAAUUAACUCCAGUAUCAUUGAAGAAAUGUUUCCCAGUUAGUAACGAUGUUCAGUAACAUGUCGUGUGAGUAUUCAAAAGUUAAAAAGUUGAUCUCUUAUGCUUGUGUUGUGCCCCCUGAAGUCUUCAGCAAUAGAAUCUAAAGCUUCGAAUUAAUAUUUAAAAACCUUUGGAGGGUGAAAGGGUGGGUUUUUUUCUUUUGCUUCUUUAACAAUUUUGGAUUCAUACACCCUUAGUAUUAUUAGGUGACACUACACUAUUGAGCUACUAAUUUUUUACUAUUGAUGUUGGAACUCUUUUUGCUUCUCAUAAGAUGCUCCAUUAU